UCUAAUUUAGGGCAAAGUAUUUUGGGAUAAUUUGUAAAAGCUUGUCCAUGACUCACUUUUCUUUUUAGUUCUUUAGCUUUAGGUUUAGUGUUAAAAAUGAAAACUAUAAGAAAUUUCAAGAGAACCUUCAAGUAGACCUACAAUUUUGUCCGUCCAAAAUCCCUUACUUUGGGUAAACUCCCUACCCCUACAACAUAAGUUCCCAAUGGAAUGUCUGUCAUAAUGCUUCCCUAACCUAGGCAUCAGCAGUGACCCAGGCUGGCCAAUAAGAGUAUGCCAUCUCCUUGGCACAGUGAUUGAUCCAGGGUAAGUUUAUGAACUAAACAGGGCUAAUCAGAUGGUUUCCUACAAUUUACAUAUACUUCCCUGGGAAGGAAAAGGAUACAGCCUUGAGCUUCCUGUAGCCACCUUUUCCAGUGUGUAUCAAGAGCUUACCCACAGAAGGAAGCCAAUAUCCAGCAAGAUGCGGAGCUGAAAGAUGAAAUCAUCUGAGUGCCUGGUUACAGUCGGGCGUUCAGCCUGCCCUUUGGACAUCCCAUUUAUAUGAGCCAAUAGAUUCUAUUUUACUUGACUAAUGUAAGUUAGGACACUUAGAAAAAGACCUAACACAAGGUUUUAUAUCACCACCUUUGCACUUGAUUCAUUCCUCUGAGGACUCAAUUUCCAGCAUCUUUUUUCUAAGAAUAAAGGCAAAAACCACUGUAUUCCACACUCAACUGGACUUCCUCCAAUCUUUUCCCCAUACCCCUUUAGUUAUUUUCCUUAUGUAGCCAUAACCCCUAAUAUUUCUAGUCAGCCAGUGCUUAAAAUUCUUCAUAAAGCAUUAUUUUAUACUUUACAAUUUCUCUGCUAGUAUCAUUUUGUGCUUUCUAACAUAGACUAGUUUCUAGUUCAGAGAUUUAAGUGAUGCUGUGCUACAUUUUCUUUGACUUAAUAAUUUGUCUGUGUGAAGACAAGCUUUUGGACUGUGAAACUGCAGCCAAAGUACAUGGUUUCCCUGAUGACAAUUUUCUCAAACUGCUGACAAAUUGCUUAGGGGAAAAUAGCUCCUCUAGUGCUAAAUUUGCAAACCUAAACCUAUUGAGGUAGCAAAUAUCACAUGCUUCAUUAAAAUAGUGAAGGGAAAUCAGUCAUAGGACAAUUAAUUGUGGAAACUUGCCAUUCGAGUGUAUAAUAAAUAAGCAUCUUGAAGACUCUGUAAGACUGCCUUUUUAUGCCCAUUUAAAUGUGUUCUAAGAAUCACAGUGACAAAAUUAGCUCAUCAACGAAUGAUUUUUGCAGCUCUAGAGUAAAAUUAUUCUGCAAAUGAGAAGCCCGUGACUUGGGUUAUAAAGCUAGUUUAAGUU
rnacentral:lncRNA from 1 species